UCGAGCAAUUCGGGAAUGUUCUUUUCUUUCUUUCCUUCAAUUUUUUUUUCUUUUUGCACAAAUUCACACUUUUUACUUUUUGCGUAGAAUUUUUUUUUUCAACUUUGGAUCGAUGCCUGAUGGAGGUAAUUCGAUUUUUCUGCGGGCCGAAGUAUAGAUGCAUGCGCACACACAUAGAUACAAGGCACUCUGGGCCAGCAAAAAUGUUACUUACAUUCUCGAUUAACUGAAACUGAAACGACAACGAACACCUACCAACGAACGAAUGAGAAUGACGGACGGCAAAGGUUGCACACAUUCGCCGCGCCGCUGUAUCUGUGUUUCGGCUCUCUUUCUCUGCCUCUCUGCCCACACUCACACAGCGGCACAUGCGCCGCCAAAGAGAGGGAGCGAGCUUCAGGGUUGCCAACCUGCCCGUGGAAGUAAUGUUGCCAGGUGUGCAGGUGAUACUUAGAAAACCAAA